rnacentral:rRNA from 1 species
AUUGAACGCUGGCGGCAUGCCUUACACAUGCAAGUCGAACGGCAGCACGGGAGCAAUCCUGGUGGCGAGUGGCGAACGGGUGAGUAAUACAUCGGAACGUGCCCAGUCGUGGGGGAUAACGUAGCGAAAGCUACGCUAAUACCGCAUACGAUCUAUGGAUGAAAGCGGGGGAUCGCAAGACCUCGCGCGAUUGGAGCGGCCGAUAUCAGAUUAGGUAGUUGGUGGGGUAAAGGCCCACCAAGCCUGCGAUCUGUAGCUGGUCUGAGAGGACGACCAGCCACACUGGAACUGAGACACGGUCCAGACUCCUACGGGAGGCAGCAGUGGGGAAUUUUGGACAAUGGGCGCAAGCCUGAUCCAGCAAUGCCGCGUGCAGGAUGAAGGCCUUCGGGUUGUAAACUGCUUUUGUACGGAACGAAACGGCUUUUUCUAAUACAGAGAGCUAAUGACGGUACCGUAAGAAUAAGCACCGGCUAACUACGUGCCAGCCGCCGCCGUAA